UACGUAGGAGGCGAGCGUUGUCCGGAGUUACUGGGCGUAAAGGGUGCGCAGGCGGCGGUUCGCGUGGAUAGAUGAAAUCUCCUGGCUUACCUGGGAGGAUGGUAUCCAGACGGGAUCGCUUGAGGGUCGGAGAGGGGCGUGGAAUUCCGGGUGGAGCGGUGAAAUGCGUAGAUAUUGGAAAGACCACCAAUGGCGAAGGCACUCUACUGGGCCAUUACUGACACUGAGAGACGAAAGCUAGGGGAGCAAACAGG
rnacentral:rRNA from 1 species